AGAGUUUGAUCAUGGCUCAGAUUGAACGCUGGCGGCAGGCCUAACACAUGCAAGUCGAGCGGUAGCACAGAGAGCUUGCUCUCGGGUGACGAGCGGCGGACGGGUGAGUAAUGUCUGGGAAACUGCCUGAUGGAGGGGGAUAACUACUGGAAACGGUAGCUAAUACCGCAUAACGUCGCAAGACCAAAGUGGGGGACCUUCGGGCCUCAUGCCAUCAGAUGUGCCCAGAUGGGAUUAGCUAGUAGGUGGGGUAACGGCUCACCUAGGCGACGAUCCCUAGCUGGUCUGAGAGGAUGACCAGCCACACUGGAACUGAGACACGGUCCAGACUCCUACGGGAGGCAGCAGUGGGGAAUAUUGCACAAUGGGCGCAAGCCUGAUGCAGCCAUGCCGCGUGUGUGAAGAAGGCCUUCGGGUUGUAAAGCACUUUCAGCGGGGAGGAAGGCGNCGAUUGACGUUACCCGCAGAAGAAGCACCGGCUAACUCCGUGCCAGCAGCCGCGGUAAUACGGAGGGUGCAAGCGUUAAUCGGAAUUACUGGGCGUAAAGCGCACGCAGGCGGUCUGUCAAGUCGGAUGUGAAAUCCCCGGGCUCAACCUGGGAACUGCAUUCGAAACUGGCAGGCUAGAGUCUUGUAGAGGGGGGUAGAAUUCCAGGUGUAGCGGUGAAAUGCGUAGAGAUCUGGAGGAAUACCGGUGGCGAAGGCGGCCCCCUGGACAAAGACUGACGCUCAGGUGCGAAAGCGUGGGGAGCAAACAGGAUUAGAUACCCUGGUAGUCCACGCCGUAAACGAUGUCGAUUUGGAGGUUGUGCCCUUGAGGCGUGGCUUCCGGAGCUAACGCGUUAAAUCGACCGCCUGGGGAGUACGGCCGCAAGGUUAAAACUCAAAUGAAUUGACGGGGGCCCGCACAAGCGGUGGAGCAUGUGGUUUAAUUCGAUGCAACGCGAAGAACCUUACCUGGUCUUGACAUCCACAGAACUUNUUGGUGCCUUCGGGAACUGUGAGACAGGUGCUGCAUGGCUGUCGUCAGCUCGUGUUGUGAAAUGUUGGGUUAAGUCCCGCAACGAGCGCAACCCUUAUCCUUUGUUGCCAGCGGUCCGGCCGGGAACUCAAAGGAGACUGCCAGUGAUAAACUGGAGGAAGGUGGGGAUGACGUCAAGUCAUCAUGGCCCUUACGACCAGGGCUACACACGUGCUACAAUGGCAUAUACAAAGAGAAGCGACCUCGCGAGAGCAAGCGGACCUCAUAAAGUAUGUCGUAGUCCGGAUUGGAGUCUGCAACUCGACUCCAUGAAGUCGGAAUCGCUAGUAAUCGUAGAUCAGAAUGCUACGGUGAAUACGUUCCCGGGCCUUGUACACACCGCCCGUCACACCAUGGGAGUGGGUUGCAAAAGAAGUAGGUAGCUUAACCUUCGGGAGGGCGCUUACCACUUUGUGAUUCAUGACUGGGGUGAAGUCGUAACAAGGUAACCGUAGGGGAACCUGCGGUUGGAUCACCU
rnacentral:rRNA from 1 species